rnacentral:rRNA from 1 species
UACGAAGGGGGCUAGCGUUGCUCGGAAUCACUGGGCGUAAAGCGCACGUAGGCGGAUUGCUAAGUCAGGGGUGAAAUCCUGGAGCUCAACUCCAGAACUGCCUUUGAUACUGGCGAUCUUGAGUCCGGGAGAGGUGAGUGGAACUGCGAGUGUAGAGGUGAAAUUCGUAGAUAUUCGCAAGAACACCAGUGGCGAAGGCGGCUCACUGGCCCGGUACUGACGCUGAGGCGCGAAAGCCAGGGGAGCCAA